rnacentral:rRNA from 1 species
UGAGGAAUAUUGGUCAAUGGCCGUAAGGCUGAACCAGCCAAGUAGCGUGAGGGAAGACUGCCCUAUGGGUUGUAAACCUCUUUUAUGCGGGGAUAAAGGUGUCCACGUGUGGAUGUUUGCAGGUACCGCAUGAAUAAGGACCGGCUAAUUCCGUGCCAGCAGCCGCGGUAAUACGGAAGGUCCGGGCGUUAUCCGGAUUUAUUGGGUUUAAAGGGAGCGUAGGCCGGUCUUUAAGCGUGCCGUGAAAUUUUGUGGCUCAACCAUGAGAGUGCGGCGCGAACUGGAGACCUUGAGUGCGCGGAA